UACGGAGGAUCCAAGCGUUAUCCGGAUUUAUUGGGUUUAAAGGGUGCGUAGGCGGAUUGAUAAGUUAGAGGUGAAAUGUCCGAGCUCAACUCGGGAACUGCCUCUAAUACUGUUGAUCUAGAGAGUAGAUGCGGUAGGCGGAAUGUAUGGUGUAGCGGUGAAAUGCUUAGAGAUCAUACAGAACACCGAUUGCGAAGGCAGCGUACCGGCGCCCAACUGACGCUGAAGCACGAAGGCGUGGGUAUCGAACAGG
rnacentral:rRNA from 1 species